UUCUGUGUAGCUCAGUUGGUUAGAGCGCUGCUCCGGAAUCGCAGGGCCGUAGGUUCGAUUCCUACCAGAGGAC
rnacentral:tRNA from 1 species